UUCAAUUGGUUUACAAAUGUUACCGGGGCAGCAUGCGGUGGAUUGUGGCUUACCCUCCCUGACCGUUGGCUGGUGGAUGUGUGUCAAAUUCUCCUCGUUGGCAGGAAGGAAUGGAAGUGGCAGACAUGAGUAAGAGUAUGCCAUGGCAAAUUAGUAAACAUAAUAUUUCAUUCCUUAUCCUGAAAGCUUGUAGGGAUGUAAUGCUUCUAGUUUUGAAGUUGUAACAAUGUAAUGGUUCCUUGAAAAUGCUUUUAUGUACCAAAAAAAAUGCCUUUGAACUUCUAUGAAUGAAGGUAAGUGGCUUAUAAAAUAUACACGUCGCUAAGUCUGGACUGUCCUCUUCUCAAGCCUGCAUUGCUUUCAGCUAUCUGUUGCUGAUGAGUGUAGAAUCGAAUUGCGUGAUUGUCCUUUGUCCAAGAAAAAGAAUGACCUUCCCACCUGGUUGAUGUAUUUCUUCUGCUUGAGCAGGAGAAAGUGCUGGUUUCCACCUUCUGCAGGAUUUCGCAUGAUGGUUCAGAUUAGAUAUUGAAAGACAUUAAGGCCCCUUGUUACCAACAAUCAUUACACGAACACUUCCCUUCAAUGAAAUGGUGAAACCGACCACCAUCUCUG
rnacentral:lncRNA from 1 species